UAGCCAGACUCCUACGGGAGGCAGCAGUGAGGAAUAUUGGUCAAUGGGCGCGAGCCUGAACCAGCCAAGUCGCGUGAGGGAAGACGGUCCUAUGGAUUGUAAACCUCUUUUGUCGGGGAGCAAAAGACGCCACGUGUGGCGUUCCGAGAGUACCCGAAGAAAAAGCAUCGGCUAACUCCGUGCCAGCAGCCGCGGUAAUACGGAGGAUGCGAGCGUUAUCCGGAUUUAUUGGGUUUAAAGGGUGCGCAGGCGGAAGAUCAAGUCAGCGUUAAAAUUGAGAGGCUCAACCUCUUCGAGCCGUUGAAACUGGUCUUCUUGAGUGAGCGAGAAGUAUGCGGAAUGCGUGGUGUAGCGGUGAAAUGCAUAGAUAUCACGCAGAACUCCGAUUGCGAAGGCAGCAUACCGGCGCUCAACUGACGCUCAUGCACGAAAGUGUGGGUAUCGAGCAGGAUUAGAUACCCCUGUAC
rnacentral:rRNA from 1 species